rnacentral:rRNA from 1 species
GGGUAGUUUGACUGGGGCGGUCUCCUCCUAAAGAGUAACGGAGGAGCACGAAGGUUGGCUAAUCCUGGUCGGACAUCAGGAGGUUAGUGCAAUGGCAUAAGCCAGCUUGACUGCGAGCGUGACGGCGCGAGCAGGUGCGAAAGCAGGUCAUAGUGAUCCGGUGGUUCUGAAUGGAAGGGCCAUCGCUCAACGGAUAAAAGGUACUCCGGGGAUAACAGGCUGAUACCGCCCAAGAGUUCAUAUCGACGGCGGUGUUUGGCACCUCGAUGUCGGCUCAUCACAUCCUGGGGCUGAAGUAGGUCCCAAGGGUAUGGCUGUUCGCCAUUUAAAGUGGUACGCGAGCUGGGUUUAGAACGUCGUGAGACAGUUCGGUCCCUAUCUGCCGUGGGCGCUGGAGAACUGAGGGGGGCUGCUCCUAGUACGAGAGGACCGGAGUGGACGCAUCACUGGUGUUCGGGUUGUCAUGCCAAUGGCACUGCCCGGUAGCUAAAUGCGGAAGAGAUAAGUGCUGAAAGCAUCUAAGCACGAAACUUGCCCCGAGAUGAGUUCUCCCUGAGACUUAGAGUCUCCUGAAGGAACGUUGAAGACGACGACGUUGAUAGGCCGGGUGUGUAAGCGCAGCGAUGCGUUGAGCUAACCGGUACUAAUGAACCGUGAGGCUUAACCUUACAAC